UGAUCCUGAUGAUGACCAGAGAAGGAUGUAUGUGAGAGGUACCGGUGUUAGCUCAUAAGUAUAUCAGAAGAUAAGCAUCCAUUGUAUAAUUAUUCAGUUAUACUGUUAAUCCAUGCCUCAACAAUUGACUAGAUAAAACGAGAGGAUGAACAUUGGACUUUCCUCAUGAUUGGGUUCCUGGGAGGAGCAUUAGGCAAUCGACCAACCCACCUGUCAUCAUGACAAAAGCUAAAAAGUGAAUGUUGUUAAAUUGGUUAAAAUCAAACCACUGAGGUUUGCAUCAAAUGUUGUUAAAUUGGUUUCGUCAACCAUCCAACCUGUACCCAAAGGAUGUCAUUUUUUUAGGUUAGUUGACUAACCCCUCUUUUUAUAAUGGUCCAGAAAAUUAAGAGGAAAGAGGGAAAAAUGUAUCACAUAAGAAGAGAUACUUUUAGAAGCAGCUGAAACAAGUAUCAUUUGUUUCUCUUUCUAACUUUACACAGAGGAUUUUUUGUGAAGAAAUGAUUUAAAUGUGCCAGUGUUGAUUAAAUAUUUGUUAUUAUCUUUAGCUAUAUUUUGAGAGAUCAUGAACAUGAGAAGGAAGUGAAGAAAAUGUUUAUUGUUCAGAAAGAUGUUUUUGGGGAUUCUACUAUUAUAUUCUUCUCGAUUCUUGAGAAAUGUGACAACCAACUUUCCAAGUUCAAGUCAGAUGACACGAAGAGGGGGAGAAGUUUAUGAUGGUUCUUCAUAUGAAUACUUAUGAUUGCCAUUUUUGUGGAUUUGGAUACUUACCAUUGCCUUUUGUUGAGGAUUUUGUAAUCCUAUUCGUCAACAUAAUGGGUUAGUUGUCUACCUGAGAUAGGUUUUGCUAAAUAUUUGCGCAUGUUUGCUGACAGUAUGGUCACCACAUAUAUGACAUUAAGGUAACAGAAGCAGUGCCCUUCUAUUUCUACUCUUACUCACACUAUCCUAUUGCAUUGGAACGAAUUUACCAUUUUGAAUAUUUGGUGUAUGCUAUGUAAAAUAGGAAGCAUGGUAGCCACGUACUCUUGUUUCUAUUCUAAAAUCCUACCAUAA